rnacentral:rRNA from 1 species
AGCGAACGCUGGCGGCAGGCCUAACACAUGCAAGUCGAACGAACCCUUCGGGGUUAGUGGCGGACGGGUGAGUGACACGUGGGGACGUGCCUUUAGGUUCGGAAUAACUCAGGGAAACUUGUGCUAAUACCGAAUGUGCCCUUCGGGGGAAAGAUUUAUCGCCUUUAGAGCGGCCCGCGUCUGAAUAGCUAGUUGGUGAGGUAAUGGCACACCAAGGCUACGAUCAGUAGCUGGUCUGAGAGGAUGACCAGCCACAUUGGGACUGAGACACGGGCCAAACUCCUACAGGAGGCAGCAGUGGGAAAUCUUGCGCAAUGGGCGAAAGCCUGACGCAGCCAUGCCGCGUGGAUGAUGAAGGUCUGAGGAUUGUAAAAUCCUUUCACCGGUGAAGAUAAUGACUGUAGCCGGAGAAGAAGCCCCGGCUAACUUCGUGCCAGCCGCCGCAGUAAAAC